CCCUUAGAUGUUCUGGGCCGCACGCGCGCUACACUGACGAAGUCAGCGAGCAUGUCCUACGCCGACAGGUGCGGGGAAUCUUGUCAAACUUCGUCGUGAUGGGGAUUGAUUAUUGAAAUUCUUGAUCAUCAACGAGGAAUUCCUAGUAAGCGCAAGUCAGCAGCUUGCGUUGAUUACGUCCCUGCCCUUUGUACACACCGCCCGUCGCUACUACCGAUUGAGUGAUCCGGUGAAUAAUUCGGACUGCAGCAGUGUUCGGUCACGAACGUUGCAGCGGAAAGUUUAGUGAACCUUAUCACUUAGAGGAAGGAGAAGUCGUAACA
rnacentral:rRNA from 1 species